UUCAUCCACAAACUCUGCACUUAGAUUUUGGGAUAUGGGUUGAGGUUGAUUCUUUUUGGUUAUGCUACUGCUCUUUAAGUAUAGGCAUCGGUAUGCUUCUCUUAUUUCUUCUUUAAGAUUUACAUAAUUUUUAGUGUUGAUUGAAGUUGGAUUUGCUGAUUGUUAGAGGUUUUAGUAAUCUUGUAUGAUAUAGUAAUUUAUGGCAGAUAUGAACUAUUUAAGUUUUGUUAACCAUCAUUUUGCCUUUAAUCUCUUUGAAGAAGUUAAAAUAAAAUAAGACUUAAAGUUUUAGUUAGGGAACGAUUAGAGCUGAGAAAUACCAUGUUUAUCAAGUAAUACUGUCAUUUGAUGGGAAUUAGGAUGUUCACUUCAUAUUAUUAGAAGAAUUGAAUCCAUCUUUACUAAAAUUCUUCUUUCAUUGAGAUGUUAAUGUCUCAGGAUUGAAUAUAGCUUUGCAAUUUCACUACAAUAGUAUAGAUUUGUGAUAAUUUGGGUUUCAUUGUUCAACACCAGCAAAGCAAAUGGAGAGGCGUCGAGAUUAGGUUUCAGAAAUUGAUGGUGUUUUUAAUGAUUAAAUAAGACAGCUGGUGUUGGAAAUGCUGCUGGAGUUGGAACUCAUUCCUGUACUGAAUGUGUUUCUGAAUGUGCUGCUAAAUGUGGAUUUCUGAUUGGAAGAACUGUGGCUGUUUUGAUAACUAUGACGAUUGGGACCUCAAUGGCUGCUCGUCAAGGUCCUCUAGCUAUGGCUGCUCAUCAAAUCUGUAUGCAAGUGUGGUUGGCUGUCUCUCUUUUAACUGAUGGAUUGGCCGCAUCUGGUCAGGUCUACACUCCGAGGAUUGCGCCUUAUGCGAGGAAUUUGAUGUGGUUCGUGAGCAAUGGGCUAAGUUUUUUACCAACAAGUAUUAUUAUUGGCUUUAGCGCGCUUGAUCGAGUUGGUUUAGUUGUUAUAGAAUAAAUUUUAUAUUAAAAUGUAUGUUUAUGUUGAAAUUGGAACAUAUAUUUAAAUGUAAUAUGUGCACUUUGGUUUUGGGAUAUAUAGUAUACAAA